rnacentral:rRNA from 1 species
UAAGCGGAGGAAAAGAAACUAACAAGGAUUCCCCUAGUAGCGGCGAGCGAAGCGGGAAGAGCUCAAAUUUAUAAUCUGGCACCUUCGGUGUCCGAGUUGUAAUCUCUAGAAGUGUUUUCCGCGUUGGACCGCACACAAGUCUGUUGGAAUACAGCGGCAUAGUGGUGAAACCCCCGUAUAUGGUGCGGACGCCCAGCGCUUUGUGAUACACUUUCAAUGAGUCGAGUUGUUUGGGAAUGCAGCUCAAAUUGGGUGGUAAAUUCCAUCUAAAGCUAAAUAUUGGCGAGAGACCGAUAGCGAACAAGUACCGUGAGGGAAAGAUGAAAAGCACUUUGGAAAGAGAGUUAACAGUACGUGAAAUUGUUGGAAGGGAAACGCUUGAAGUCAGACUUGCUUGCCGGAGCUUGCUUCGGUUUGCAGGCCAGCAUCAGUUUUCCGGGGUGGAUAAUGACGGUUUGAAGGUAGCAGUCUCGGCUGUGUUAUAGCUUUCCGUUGGAUACAUCCUGGGGGACUGAGGAACGCAGCGUGCUUUUUGCGAAAGACUCGUCUUUUUCACGCUUAGGAUGCUGGUGGAAUGGCUUUAAACGAC